UGGAGGUCUCUAUAAAAGCCCUGUUGUAAAAACCUUGACCAUUAUAGUGCAUUUGCUUCUGGAUUGUGGAAGGACACUGGAUGUAGGCAUUGAGGCCGAACCAGUAUAAAAAUCUGUGUUUGAUUUCUCUAUCCCUACACUCUUACAUUAAGUCGACUUUACUGUUUUCAUAGUCAACUUUGUAAUUUCAGCUACACUUAGAAUUUUCAUUCCUUGUGAUUCAAGAAACUUUGUAAAGUUUUUAUACUUUGUGAAAAGGAUUUUGAAAAGACUCUGAUUUUGAAACCUCACUA
rnacentral:lncRNA from 1 species